UAAGCAGAAUGAAGACCAAAAAACAUUCAGAAAACAGAACAGAAAUAGAGAAGCGCUAGAAAUACCAGACAGAAUCAAGAUUUGGGAAAAGUUUGGGAUAGAUGGAAUCUAUCAUUCGAUAAAUACAUUUAGAGAAAGCCUGAGAAAUGACAGAAUAAUUUGAAAGUGCAAAGCAGGAAUCAAGGAAGAAAGAACAAUAGUUUGGCAGAAUACCAGUUCUACUCCUGGUUCUAACAACCCAAUGUGUAACUUUGGGUAGCCUAUAUUUACAUGAGACCACAAGAAGUUCCUGACAGGAUGUUAUUGGUUGCAUUUACCCAAUUGGAGCUUAAGAUGAGUCUUCCUGCCACAUCACAGGACAUGCUCUUAUUUUCAUUCCUGUCUGAUUCAAAUCCCAGAUCCUUUGGACUCUCCUUUGAAAUUGUGCUGUUUGUGCUCCUUCUCUCCCCUAUCCUGCCCUGCCCCCAUGAGGAAGAGUUGAGACUGGAUGGAGACAGAGGGUGGGGAAGUUUUUCUCAUAAUUUGGAAGCCCAUGAAAAUCUCUAG
rnacentral:lncRNA from 9 species